GAUGAGCGUGGCCAACUUUGAACAUGUUCAAAACAAUCGUGGUGCGGUCGUGAUGAAAACAGGUCGUAGUAGGAGCGUAGUGAGAGCGCACUAAGGUCGUGGAAAGAUCGCAAAGGUCGCUGUGCCAUCGUAGCGAGAGCGUAGCAAAGGCGUGAUUCUAUUAGAAGAGACUGCGCUACGAUCUCACAGCGACGUUAUUACGACCUCAGUACGACCAUCACGUUCUCAACGCGACCCAACUACGCUUCCAUUACGACCAUACCACGUUUACACCACGCUGUUCAAGACCACAGUACGAUUCUAGCACGCCC
rnacentral:lncRNA from 1 species